rnacentral:lncRNA from 1 species
AGUAGCCUGGCUUCUCCGGGAGCUGAGGGUGAGCAUCAUGCCUGCUCCAUCUCCCUCUUUGUUGUGGAUAAGGCAGGUAGGAAGAAUGACGGAUUGCCUUACCCUUUCUAAUUGUUGUGUGCUCUCCAUACCCCACCCAAUCCUACUUCAACAUUGUCACCUAAGGAUUCACAAACCCACCCUUGUGCGAAUCCAGCCGUCUGUGUUCUAGACUGGCAAGGACCAUAUCUGAUUCUGAGAUGCUCAGGAAGGUGUGCUCCCAAUUGGCCCUUGUCCAGACUAGUUUACUUGCUGAGUAUCCCCAGGGCACAGGAACAAUCAUUUGGGGUUGCGGCUUUGUUCAUAGGGUCAUCAAGACAGGAGGAUAUGAGGCAGAAUCACCACACAAGGUAAGAGUACAUUUAGAAAUUCUCUUGAGUAAAUAAUACUGGCUUUAUCACUAUGCUUAUUUCUGUGUUUCUACUUGCUCUCAGAUUUUGGCUUGGUUAUUUCUUACUAUCUUGUUAGCUCUUUGAUGCCUCUAGUUUUGUUUUUAUUUUUGAUAUUGUUGUUUUCUUUUCUUUUUUUUUUGAGAUGGAGUCUCGCUCUGUCACCCAGGCUGGAGGCCAGUGUCACAAUCUCAGCUCACUGCAGCCUCCGCCUCCCGGGUUCAAGUGAUUCUCUUGCCUCAGCCUCCCGAGUAGCUGGGAUUACAGGUGCCCACAACCAUGCCAGGCUAAUUUUUGUAUUUUUAGUAGAGACAGGGUUUCAUCACGUUGGCCAGGCUGGUCUCAAACUCCUGACCUCAGGUGAUCCACCUGCCUCGGCCUCCCAAAGUGCUGGGAUUAUGGGUGUGAGCCACUGCGUCCAGCCAUUGUUGUUUUUUUUUCUGAUUUAGCCACAUUUUUUGUUAUUUUCAGUGGGAGAAUGGUCCAAAAUAUCUUGGUUGCCAUAUUGUCAGAAAUGGAAAUCUUCUAUUGAUUUUUAAAUUUCAUCAUUCUUAUUUUUCAUUCUUAUUUAAUUCUUCAUUUAAUUGGUUCUUUAAAUCUCUUUGACAUUUUAAGAUAAUUUCUCAUUUCCUGCCUGUAUUUUCAAGGUUGUUUGAUAUUUCUCUAAAAUUGUUAAACAUAGUAUUUUGUAUUUUGUAUAUAAGUCCAAUAUCGAAAACACCCAUCCUGCCACUACAAGAAAAGUUUUGCCCAAGAAUGAACCAACGUAGAGAAAAACAGAGCUAAGACAAACCAAGGCUAACUGCUGAUUUAAGUCCCUAGAUCCAGCUAUUCUUGAAGCCUUCUCAGUUACACAAACCAAUAAUACUUACUUUUUUUACUUAAACUAUUUUCUGUUUCCAUUACUUACAACCAAAAUAGUCCUGAUUAAUACAUAGAAUAAUGUGAAUUUUUAUUUUUAUUCUGAUUUUUAUUCUGACUUUAUAAAAAAGAACUUUUACAAUUAUCCAUUAUGCUUGGAUAAAUGCGUGUGUAAAUAUUUGUUUGGGGUGGAGGAUGUACACUGAAAUGUUAACAUUAGAUUUCUGCGGAGGAUGAGUUGGAAGGAAUGAAGGAGACAUUAAUAUCUUUUUCUGGCAGGGCACGGUGGCUCACACCUGUAAUCCCAGCAUUUUGGAAGGUGGAGGUGGGCGGAUCACCUGAGGUCGGGAGUUCGAGACCAGCCUGACCAACAUGGAGAAACCCCGUCUCUAUUAAAACAUACAAAAAUUAGCUGGGUGCGGUGGCAGGCGCCUGUAAUCCCAGCUACUUGGGAGGCUGAGGCAGGAGAAUCGCUUGAACCUGGGAGGCGGAGGUUGCAGUGAGCUGAGAUCGCGCCAUUGCACUCUAGCCUGGGCAACAAGAGUGAAACUCCGUCUCAAAAAAAAAGAAAAAAAUCUUUUUCUUUGUCACCUAUGCAAUGUUUGACCUGCAAGUGCUUGUAUCUUUUGUAAUUGUUUAAAUCCCUCAAAAUUUUAAAUGAGUAUUGAAUAUAUUUUGUGUUUUUCCAAAUAUAAGAUUCUAUAAAGAAGAGAAUGAUGUAAGUGACCCGGGGGCAAUGGGGGGAGCUUAAAUUUGAAACUAGAAAAAAUUUUGAACAAAAUAAUCAUAAUUGUUAGCUGAUGAAAAACUAGAAAAUAUUUUCUGAGUAAAUUCUUGAUUUCAGAAAUUAACUAUAAUUUAUAUUGCUCUUAAUAUCUUACCCUUGAAUAUAAAUGAUUAAUGCCCUUUAAAAUGUCCUUUUUUCUAGCUAACCUGAUGUACAUAUGACAUUAAUCCAAUAGACUUAGGAAUAAGAUACAGGGGGUUUUCCUGAAUGAUUCGAGUAUAUCCCCAUUCAUAUUAAGAAAACAAAGUAUUGGCCAAGCGUGGUGGCUCACGCCUGUAAUCCCGGCACUUUGGAAGGCCGAGGCCAGUGGAUCACCUGAGAUGGACUCAACGACUCUCUUACCGUCCAGCUCUCAAGUCCCUUCUCUUGUGAAAAUGGAAAAGUUGAACUACAGUUGAGAUAUUAUUCCCAGGUGUUCUUUGGAACACAGGGGAUUUCUCCAAAAGGCACAGAACAAAUUGCCUCCAAACAGCCAAGAUUCCAGCAGAAGCUGGAGUAGCAGACUACUUGGAUCUUCAAAGUACCUGGCCCUGAGUCAGUUAAGGAAGAUCUUUUCUUCUCUUUUGUACAAUCCUAUGAUGAGAGCUGCAAAGUGAACUGACUAAGAGCUUCUGCCUUGAUCAUUGACCUCCCAAUCCUAAUAAUAUGUUCACUGGCCAAACUUCCUAAUCGAUUUGUCUUUUGGAUAUAACG